CCGUCGAAAUUUCACUUCGCAGACCCAUUUAAGCGAGUUACGCCCGUUUUUCUUGUACCGGCUCGGCUGCUAGGUAGGCAGCCCGUUGUACGCUGCCCGCCAGAUUCAAAAGACAAUCCCUUCAAACUCAAGUGUCUCUGAACAGGGGUGGUUUCUGUCGCCGCCGGGCCAUUUUAAGUGAGUUACGCCUGUUUUUCUCGGACCGGCUCGCGCGCCAGAUUCAAAAGACCACCCCUUAAAACUCAAGUUUCUCUGGACAGGGGUGGUUUCUGGCGGAACCAAAAGUAGUUUUGUGGUGCCCUGGUUCACCCCUGUCGGUUCGACUACUUUUCCGUCGAAAUCCGGACCCACCCAUUUUUGUUAAAAAUGGGAAGGCUAGCCUUUGUAAAUUUGGCCAAAAAUGAAAAAAAAUAAAAAUCGCUGGAAAUGAUUGGAAUUGGUCUAGGAGAGUCGCCUUUGACCUUCUCUGUCGAAAUUGCAUGCUUCCUGCCUCUUUUGCAUCCUGUUUCUUCGACUAUAAAAUUGCGUCUUUGGUUUGUCGCAGGAAGAUCGGCCUGGAGGUGACCUGACUUGGACAUCAGCAAAGCAGCCUAUGUGUCACCUGCAGUGUGCUGAGUUGGCGUCGCAGCACACAGCAGAAGGAAUCGCUCCUUUUUCUCAUGAUCGCAGGGAUGAAUCUGGUAUUCAGAUUCACCCCAAGUCACCAGCAGAAACAAGCCAGCUACUUGAGGAAGACUUACAUUUAUAAUGUAAAUGAUUUGAAACAAUAAAGAAUAAAAAAUGACUACAUCUGACAUUUUCCUUGAUUUCAUACACCUAAUUAGUUAAAAGCUGUGGUAACUGUGGAUGUAGUAGCAGACUGCCACCACUACAGCAGUGACGUCACGCGUUGCACGUAUUGUCCCCAUGCAAGGGGUCCGCUGACUCCACAGCGUUGAGCGGAAACGGCUCCGCUAGACCCUUCCACAAUGUGGGUUGAUGAAUGAAUUUACAGGGGGGUAAAAAAAAAAUAAUAACUGGACCAACGGUCAUCACUGUGACGCCAA